ACACCGGCCCUUCUUAGGGCCACCCAUUAUUAAUCAAAGCAGUGUGU
rfam:Branchiostoma floridae genomic scaffold BRAFLscaffold_4, whole genome shotgun sequence.